GGGCUGAGCUCAGUGGUAGAGCGCUUGCCUAAUAUGCAUGAGGUACUGGGUUUAAUCCUCAGCACCACA
rnacentral:tRNA from 1 species